UUGAAACCAGCUCAACACAAGAUUGACAUAAGGGAAGCCAUAUUGUAGAAAAGGGACCAUGUUGUAACUUUGAAUGACCUCUGACUGACUAACCCAGCUGGAUUUGCACCCUCCAGGAGAUCCACCUGUUCUGUGGAUUUUAUGACCUCUGCUAGUGCAUAUACCUGCCAGCAGCAAUAAGAUGAUAACUUCAUGCUUUUGAGUUCCUUAGGAAUGUGAUGACCCCCCAAACAGAGAGUCUAUGCUGAUAGUCAUCUUCAAUGAAAACUGAAAGAUCUGGUGUGGCAACUCCCAGUCUGCAACACCAGAGGGUCAACAUUCCUAACCCCUCCCCUAUAACCCACUGGCCUAUAUAACUACUUCAAGAUUCUGUGCCCCCAUUAAGAUCGUUCUUUUGGACAUUACUAGGCUGUCUUCCCUCUUGCUAGCAAGCUGUAAUAAAAUGCCCUUUCUCUGCCAUCAUCUUGCCUCUUGACGAUUGGUUUUUGUCUUGCAGUGAGCAAGACAAAUCGUGCCCUUUGUGUGGUAACAAAAUCUGGUGACCAUGAAGGGACAAUAAGUUCUGCUCAUGGCCAGUCGACCUCAGAUGAGUGACCUGUUGGUGCUAUGUCCUGAGAGCUUGGCUUGGUGACGUCUCUGGUCACAAGGGGUCCCAGUCCAUCGGGGGCCUGUGUCGUCUCAACCUUUGUUGCCUGUCAGUGCACUACCACCUGUGCAGCAGAAGCCUUUGCUUCCUUGGAUUAUUUUUGGGAGUGAAGUUUCUAGAUCUUGUGAGGUCUGCUUCUUUUGCACUCUCUUGUGAAGAUGCCUCUUGCAUCCAAGAUAUGUUUCGUAUUCAGAGAAAUUCGUGGAAAGGACUCUGACACUCUGGAAUACAGGUUUCUGACCCACUUCAGAUCGUAAAACUGAAGUGGGUAAGAAAUUAUAGAACUCUAAUAGAGAAACUGAUGAGCUCAUGAAACUGCUGACAGAAGAUUAAGAUCAAGAAUCAAUUACACAGGACUGUGGAACUGAUGAGCAGGAUUAUAAUUUUUAUGAUUUUUGUUUAAAAUCUUGUUGAUUUUUUAAUGUUUUGUUUUGUUUUCCCAGAUUUUAGGAAAUCUUUUUUUUUUCUCUUAUGCUAACUAUGACUUAUAGCAAUUUGGUGAAAUUAUACCUUUGUGAGCAGAAUUGAAACAUUUAUCUUUUUCUCCCUACCUGAUCCCUCCAGAAUUUGGAAACUCUUAGUGAGUGAGUGAGUAUGGUUAUUUUCAUGGCAAUAUAGUUAUUUGCAUAAGUUCAGUAAGAAUCUGUUCCCCUUAUAACAGGACACAUUUGGAAACAUUGAUUAUAUAACCAAGGCUUUGACUAGAAUGCCAUAUUUGAGAGACACAUAUAGACUCAGAUAUGACAAGACAGCUUUUGAGGAAUAAAUGUUGACUUCUUGGAAUAAAGCCACUUGGAAAUAUUGGCCUGAUAACUUGUUUACAAGGAUUCCAGCAACCUGGGUAAGUAAGGAAGGUCACUUAUCUGGCAGGUACCUGGAACCUUGAAAUACUUUGGGGAACCUCAAGGCAAGAGAGGAAUUCACUCAAAUCUAAAGUGUUGCAGGCGGAGCCUGAUGACAAAUCCUUGGCUUGGAUUUUCUGGCCUCAAGAAGCUUUUAAAGUUCAACCUGAGAUUCCUUAUAAAAAGUUCCAGCAAAGCAGAUUUUAAAAAGCAUAUAUGAUCAAUGGCUAUUCUUGCUGUACUUAUGUAAAUAAUUGAAUUAAGUUUUAUUGAAACUAGGCUUAUUUUGCAAACUAAUGAGUCUUAAUUGGCUAUCUUUGGUAAAAAGGGGGUGAUUUUAGAGAGAAAAAUUAUAUUUCAGUAGGAGCUAUGGUACACAUUCGUGGAUAUUAGAUUCUAGUUCUGUUAAGUGCAUUUGAGGUUUUUGUUUGUAUCUGUUUACUGUACUGGAUCCUAAACUCUUCUAGUCUCUUGAAAUAUCUGGCUACAUAUCUCCAAACUAGCUAUUUCAAUAUUUUUUUCCAUCAUUUUCACUUGGAAUCAUUGAGAACUGAACCUGCCCUUUUCCUGCCAAGUCUUGCAAACUGAAGCUGGAGGACUUGAUAUAAACUUAAGAGGGAGAGAUUCAUAUCUGUUGCUGUGUAAGCCCCUCAGAAAGAUACCUGAACACCCAAUGACAUCAUCAGGGACAUCUAAAACUGCAAAAGAUGCUUUGACCCUGACAUCUAGAAAUCUUCUUGACUGGCUGCCCCUGGGCUCAGAACUGGUUUAUAAUUUGCUCCCACCAUUAGCCUUACUCUCCUUCUGUCUCUCUAGAAAUGCUUCUUAUUAAAUACCUGGUUACUUGCUUACCCAAUAUAGGCCUAACUUCAGGAACCCACCUGCAUCACCAUCUUACUAAGAGACUGGUUCAAUGAGAUGGAACAACCUAUGCUCCUCAACGACAGGAUGUCCCUCAAGAUUGAGGAAUGAAAAACAAAAAGGCAGAAUUGAAACCGACUCAACACAAGAUUGACAUAACGCAAGCCAUAUUGUAGAAAAGAGACCAUGUUGUAACUUUGAAUGACCUCUGACUGACUAACCCAGCUGGAUUUGCACCCUCCAGGAGAUCCACCUGUUCUGUGGAUUUUAUGACCUCUGCUAGUGCAUAUACCUGCCAUCUGCAAUAAGAUGAUAACUUCAUGCUUUUGAGUUCCUUAGGAAUGUGAUGACCCCCCAAACAGAGAGUCUAUGCUGAUAGCCAUCUUCAAUGAAAACUGAAAGAUCUGGUGUGGCAACUCCCAGUCUGCAACACCAGAGGGUCAACAUUCCUAACCCCUCCCCUAUAACCCACUGGCCUAUAUAACUGCUUCAAGAUUCUGUGUCCCUUUUAAGAUUGUUCUUUUGGACAUUAUUAGGCCAUCUUCCCUCUUGCUAGCAAGCUGUAAUAAAAUGCCCUUUCUCUGCCACCAUCUUGCCUCUUGACGAUUGGCUUUUGUCCUGUGGCGAGCAGAUUGGGCUCUUUGUGUGAUAACAGUUUGAUUACUCUAAGCCUUCUCCCAAUGUUCUUGGCUACUUGUCCUUCUUCCUUAGAGCAUUUGUCUUGUCUCUAAGCCCUUGCUUUAAACCUAUGCUGUCUCCUCAUGGUGUCACACAUGCACACAGAGGACAGAAACACUUUCUUAAUGGAGGAUUGGAACCAAAGUGUUUGAAGAGGCCCCUCAGCACCCCUGAGCAUGGAGGCCAGAGUGGUUUGUCCUUCACCGUCACCAUGUCUCAUUCUCCUAAAGAGCUGGCUCAAAAGGAAAUGCACAGAUGCCCAGACUAUUUGCUAAAGGAAAUGACACAUUAUCCUCUUCCGAACAUCUGGUAAUUCCUAAAAGACAGUCAGGCCCUGAUAAUACGGUUGGCUCACUAGAAGCCUGAGUCUUCUUUCCCAAGGGAGGUGGGGGCGAACCAAGGAGGACAGAGUCUAUUUUUGGUGUCAGCCCUAGGGGAUGCCUUGAGGAGGGGGAGAGGGGUCACCAGCACUGCUGUUCUGUUCUGUUCUGUGAGCCAGGAAUGCAUGCUUCCUUCCUGUCCAGCCCUGAGCAGCCGUCUCUUUCUUAAGUUUCAGAUCUUCCAUGGAGAGCUGAAAAGAUUUAAAAAUUCCAUCAUGGGCCGGAAUGGCUUGACAUGAGGGCAGGUGAACUAAUGACUUGGGGAAAUGAGAUUUGUCAGAACACUGGGUGUUGAAGUUACUGCAAAGGAAAGCAGAGCUGUGUCAGGUUGAGUGGCUAUCACAAGAUGGAAUAGUGACUCAGAGGACUCACUAGCAUCUGGCUGCCCCUUGGCUAGGAAAUGCACAUUUUUUUUAGCCCUAAGGCAUCCUCUGGAGGCAAAAUGCAACAUGUAGAAAGAAUAGGAGAGGUGUGCGUGGAGUGCCUCGCUUCCCCAGUUAAUUGAUUUUGCACAGGUGAGAAGAAGCAAGCCUUGAACUCAAUGGGAAAUCCCGGAGGUGGAUGCCUCAGGACUGACCCCCGUUGGUCAGCAUCUAGACCAAUGAAGCACCUUAAGUCGAGGACUGAGAGAAGCAAGUCUUGUUCUCAUUAAAUUAGCCCAGGACUGGGGAGUGGGUGGAGGGGGUUGGGGAGGGCACCUCUGCCUCAGGAUCUAAGGCCACUUGUUGUACCAGGUCUUUGUUUUGUCCCAGCCAGGGCACUCUGGGGAAAGCAUCCUGAGAAUUCGCCCUGCAAACAGAAAGGGCAUUUCCUUGUGUGGGUUUCCUGUUUAGGUCUGCGUAGAAACCCAAAGGAUCACUUGGCCUCAUAAAUCCUCUAGACAUUACUGAUGUAGAUGCUCUGGCUAGAUGCCAUGGGAAAAUUGCACAAAAAUAGAAGAAGAGAGGAAAGCGCAUUCCCUCUCAGGAUUCUGGGUGGGUUUCAGGCUUCAUGUUUUUGUAAAUAGAGGGGGUUGGGCUAGAGGAGAUGAUCUUAAGUUCCCUUCCAGCUUUGCUAUUCUCAGAUUCCGUUGCCCUCCCAAGGGUCACCCGGAGCUCCCGCUCUCCCGCUCAGUAAUGGGGGUCUGCUGAGCACCUCUCCAAACAGAAGCAGGAUGGAAGUUUCAGGCAAAAAAUCAGGAAGUUGCCUUAGAAUCUCUUUUAGGCUCCUUCACAGAAAAAAGGUACUGGUUGAACUCUGGUAAUUCCCAGACUUUCCUAAACAUUUAGUUUUUUCCAAAAAUGACAGAUACCAGAUUCAGGAGUAUUGCAGGAGGUUUGCGGCUGGGUUUUGGCAUAAAGCAAGUUCACAGAAUGGACUCAAAAGUGGUGGAUAAGAUGUGUGUUAGGAGAUAUCACGCAUUUCGGGAUUCUUUUUUACUUCCUGUUCCCCUCAAGUUUUGCAUGUGUCAAAUGGGCAUUCAAACCUGUUGGUUUAAUGGAAGAAGCCAUGUUUUCAUACUUAUUCUGUGACAGAUUCCCCUUGGAGUCUGACCAAACAUUAGGUUAGAUGAGAGCGAUGAGGUGAAGACAGGAUUUCUUGCCGAAGAUUCCUGUGAGGAUAUUCUCAUUGUCUUAAAUUAUACUUUUUGUGUUCUAUUUUCUCACUUGUCCUUGUUUGUAUCAUUUAAAAAAUUUCUCAUAUGGAACUGCCCUUUUUUGGAAAGGCAGUACUAAAAUGAUAUUGAGUAACAUUAAGUUAACCUCCUUAGACUGGCGGUUCAGUGCUCUAGUAAGCUGACUAGAUAUUCUACUUAAAUGUGGAUAGACCCAUUUAUACAGCAACAUUUCUCAAGGCAAGAUUGCUCUCUUCUCAGUUCUCUCAGGUAUGAAUUGUGAUGUUUGUCUAUAAAAGUCAUUCCCUAGAGGAUAUUCUUACAUCUUUGUAAAUAAUUCAGCAAAGGAAGAUUACUUCCAAGGUCCCCUUCUGUUAUUUCACUUCCAAAUUUUGCUGUUGUGUAUCUGAAAUACAUUCUCCUUUUCCCUUGCUGACUCUGAAGUGGUUCUUAACUAAAGAAGCGGGAGGAAGGUAAAACGAUAUGAAGUUCUAAGCUUUCUGGGUCAGCACUCCCCAGAACACUAGUCCCUGGAAAGGUGUUUUCGAAUGUGCUUUCUGUGUCAAAUGUGUUGGAAAAUGCUGCUGUCCUUGAGAAUCACACUGCACUCUAGGGUGUUAGAACUCUGAAAAUUCAGACAAUAAAGAAACGUGUUCAACUUUAACUCAGCACUUCUCAAACUUAUCUGAUCAAGAACAUCUCUUUUUAUAUGAUAUCUUUAGCAGCCGUUAACAGAUGGAGGAGUAAGUGUUACAUGGGAAACAUUUUGAGAAAUGUUCUUCUCAGCCAGAAGACAGAGUUCACUGUCUUUUAUUUAGCACCUGGGGAUAUAUAUAUAUAUGCUAUAUAUAUAUAUAAAUACUAUGUAUAUAUAUAUAUACUAUGUACAUAUAUGUACAUAUACAUACAUAUACUGUGUCUAUUUUUGUUUGCCCCAUAUCUUCAACAAUGAACAUGAAUUAUUUCUAUAUUUCAGCUGAAAAACAAAAUAAACUUUAUUUUUAAAAAAGAAUCAACAUUAAGUUUCUAUACUUUUCAUUCGUGCUUAAGUGGACACAUCCACCUGCCUGCGGAGAAGCCGUCGGUUGUUCCUCCCACUUCUAGUCAGUUAUCUUGGUUUGCUUGGGGUUCCAUAGCGCUUGUCUUCUAAGGUCCUCUGUGUCUGUCCUUGGAGUGCGGACAGCUCCUUCAGACUGAGGGUAAAGCAAUUCACACAUGGCGGAAUGGUCCACCUGGGACAAGGAAAUGGCCCAAUCAAGCCCUCCAUACUAACUUGUUACUGGAUCAUGUGUCCAUGGGAGGACGUUGGCAGACCAGUCGGAAUUCUUGGUUGCUACCAAGCAAAAUCUCUCCUAGUUGACUUGAGCGGAAAGUGAACUUAUUGGAAGAGUGUUGUGCAGCUCACAGAAUCAGUGGGAAGGCUAGAGAACCAGGUGAUGAAAAUGAAUAAAAAUUGAGGGAGGCAGGACACAGCCAAGAUCUUGCCAGAGGGAUAGUCCACUUAGGGUGCGCCGCUGCUGCUGUCACUGCUGGACACGUGUCAUAAUGCUGCUGGGCUCUGAUCAGGCAUUGGUUGCUAUGCUUGCGGGCACUCAAAUCCACCACAGCCACUGCAAAUGACUUCUGCCUCCCCACAGGCUUCAGGUCCUAGAUGACAUGAUGGGGUCUCUGAUGGGCUGAGCCCAAGUGAUGUGCUGGUUUCCUAGUUUCUGGGGCACAGAUAGAAACUCUCUGCCCUCUUUGGCUUCUAAAGUAGGAAUCGGGGUCUUGCCUUCCCUCUAUUCUGGGGUUCCCCCCAAAUGGGAAGGAUGUUUAAAGGCUGGGAAACUAGAAUGACAAAUAUGUAUAACAUUUCGGUUUUCCGUCCAAGAGUUGCUGGGACCUUGGAGAGGCAGGGUCAAAUCAGGGCCAGCCCUGUUCAGAAAGGAACUCACUCUCCCAGAGCCGCAUUUUGCAUGGUUUUCUUUCAACCUGGAUUCCUAAGAUGGCAAAGCUUCCAGCAGAUUUCUUGAUCAGUUGAUAGAAAAAUCUGCCCCUCGGAAUAACUGACCUCUCCUAAUAAAAACCAUACUAAAUAAUAAAAUCAGAGUGGUCAUUUUUCAGAGGAACCAGGAGGCAUAUGCAGACUGCCCACCCCACUAGAGGCGUAGACUUUGUUGCUUACUGUCUGUCAGCCACAUGCGUUGUCUGCAGGGCACUGACCAAGAAAAAUGAAGGAAUAACAAAGCAUCAGCAGGAUUUUUUCUCUGACGAGCUUACAGUUUAGGGAAGCUGAUUAAAUAGAUUGAAAGGCCCUCUGAGUACAGGGAAUGGGAAAGGAAUGGAAAGUGUAAACACGGAUCUCCUAUUGACUUCCUUAUUCGGGAACAUAUCUUUCUGCUUGCAAACUUCUAGAUGUUGGGGUUGAGUCCAGAAACCAAAAGAUGAGGUCCAAGGAGAGAGAUGGUACUGCUGUGGCUGCUGACAAAUCCUUAGAUGCCAGACCCAGACCCAAAACUGGACUGUGUAGGAGAAAACUGGUGGGGGUGACCACUUCAGAGCCUGGAGUCUUAGGAGUGGAACUAGAAAUCAGUGAUUAAAAAAUGAGAAAAAUUCCUUGUUUUGGAACUAACUUGGCUAUGCUCACCUCAGAAUUGUCCAGCCACUUGAACAGCUUCCAUUGUUCACUGGGACCUUUUGAGGAUUGUCAAUCUAUUCACAGGGAAGCGGGUUCCAAGAUCAGAGUCUGUUUCCAAUGGGUCAUGAGUACAAAGAGCAUGCCUUUCAAUCUGUAAAUUACCUCCCCGGAAAAUCAGGAGAAAAGAAAUUGAAGAGUGGAAAGGAGGCCUGAGGCUACAGGUACAUCAACAUUUAAAGAAUGUGUCAAGUAUGAACUCUAGUCGAUGUGGUGGAAUUCAAGUACAUAUACACUGUAGAGAGCAGGAAGCUUGGAAAAUAAAGCUUUCCUACGUCUUCUGGAAUGUAGACACUUUGUUCAGGAUCUACAAGGUAAAGAAUUCCAUAGGAAGUAUUUGUUUAAUUAAUUGUAGCCAGAACUUAGCUGUGGGUAGGCCAGAUUCCAUGGUGUAAUGUUAUUGCUUCUCCAAGCAGGAUACGUGCAUACUUUAACUCAAGUGCAAACCCACAAGAUUUGAACUCCUAACCUUUAAAAAAUAAGGCAGUUACUUUGGCCACCAGGCAUCCCGGUUCUUGUUUACCAGGACUGGGAGUUCUUAUCAGACAGAGCCCUGCUUAUUCCAUGCCCCUGGCAGAAUCAUACUGAGAAACCUGAAGGAAUGUCCAUUUUAAAAUAGUGUCUGUGGCACCAAAAGGAUUCUGGGGCUCUGAAUCAGCCUCUUACCUCAUGGCAAAAUUCAUAGCUUGCAGAGUUAAAUGAAAAUCAGAUUGGAAUGUACGGCCUUCUAUUUUUCCGUAAUGACAUGUUGUGAGGAGCAGGAGGGCAAUUUUCUUGGACAUUCCUCUAAAACCAGUGCACUUGCACAGGGUGUUUUUGGUAUACAAAACUAUCUGAAACAGACCCACAGCCCACUGCCCUCUCUGGGUGCCAGGGCUCAGGGCCACAUAGGCCAUUUGUCCAAAGACUGUAAGUAAAAUCAACAAUCAUUCAUUUCCCUCAACGCGUUAGCCUCUUUUCAAAGCAGUCAGAAAGUAGACUGUGGUACUUCCUCUUUUCUCUGAAGUAGUUUAAUGAUAACAGAAGAAAAAGUAUUCUCUAAAACACAAUCUUAGACUUCAACUCCACCUACAAGCUGAAAGAAUUUUGUAAGGAAACAAGAAAAAAAAAGGAAAGAAAUGUCUGUUCCUCACAUCUAUGAAAAAUCCACAUACUAUGACCUGAGAAGGAAAAAUAAACAUAGUCCAUGAAAUUCUGUGGCAAAAAGGAAUGAAAAUGUUCUUAGAAAAAAAAAGAAAACUGAACUGUAUUCUCUGCAGGUUUAAAGGCAACUUUUGCCAAAAUCUGCUUUCUGGAAACUUUCCUGUAGACCUGGCUCCCACCAGCAGGCUUGGCGGCAAGAGAAGGGCUUGGAAGACUGUGGCUUGGAAUGUGUGAAUGUUAAAAUCAGACAUCGUUCCCUUUUCUCUAUAACAACAACAAGACUUUGGUUUUGGCUGGAUGCAUGCUGGGGUUUCCGGUCCUGCCUUGAAUCUCUUCCUGCUUCAGCUCAGAACUGUUGAGGGGAUCUCAAUACUCCAGUUCAUUUUCUCUUUGACCACCAGUUUCCCCUUUCUCACAAUGCCCCUGAGAAGCCAAUAGACACCAUUUUCAUGCUGAAACGAAGAAAUAACUGAGUGAGUAGGAAAUGAGAUGUAGAAGGCCACACAGCAAGUUGGAAGAAGAUUCUGGAUGGAAAGUUGGAAUUUCCAUGUCUUCCCCAGGUCUGCAAGCCUGGUCCACUAAGCUAAGUUUUUCUGAGACAUUGAGGCCCACAGAUGCAUGCUGACUCACAGGCAUAAGGUGAGACUUCAAGCUGGGAGUCAGCACUCUGCAGAGUGACUAGAUAUGAAAUACUUUAAUAAAAUAAUUAUCACUUGCUGGGGCAGAGUUAUAAUUUAAAGUGGUUUUGUCACGGAUUAUUCUAAUUUGUAACACAUUAUAAUUCAGACAGAACAAGGCUAAUAUUCAGCCUAAUCCUAUGUAUAAAAAGACUUGCUGAACAAAUAUAAAAUAUAUUAUAGGAACUGUGUCUCAUGUCAUAGAUCAUAUGUCACAGACUUAAGAACAAGACACAAGAAAUAACAGAUUCAAUGACUGUUGAAUUGUGGGGAACUAUGUUUUCAGGAAGCACUGCUAUACGAUAAUCAUUGAUCCUGUUAUUUCCUGUGUCUUGUUCUUAAGUCUGUUCCAGAUGAUCUGUGACAUGAGACGCAGUAGUAGUCUCAUAGUAGAGACAUAGGUAGUCUGUGUAACUGACCACAUUGCUCAGCAGCUGCUGCAACUGAAAAAGUUGUUUCCAGGAAAGGGCACAUGCUGAAGUCAUUUUCACUGGAUCUUGGAGGCAAGCGGAUCUCUUUAUGUUUCAGUGGCAUGUAGAAACAUUCAGGAGGAAAUUGGGAACGUGCACCAGCAGAACCAGAGAACAUGCUGAAGAGUCUAUUUAAGGAGCAGUGGUGGACUGAGAGACUGAGAAUUCGCUGCAGUUACUAUAAAAUGCUUCCUGAUACAGGCAUGGGUUGUGGGACAGUGUGGGACACAGAAAAGGAUCAUCAGAUGACAAUGAACCAGGCGCAAUGGAAGGAUCAGGAAGGACCAAGGCAGAGAUAUUUCUGUUGGUCAUACUUAUUUAAAACAAAAACCAGAGCCACAUUGUAUAUUAUUCAUAGCUUGUUGCAUGCAUAUAUUUGUCUGUUAACUGUUUAUUGUUGUUUUAUGAUGUUGGUUUAUUUUAUUUUAUUUUUUUCGUGAGGAAGAUUGGACCUGAGCUAACAUCUGUGCCAAUCCUCCUUUAUUUUUUGUAUGUGGGACACUGCCACAACGUGGUGUGAUGAGUGGUGUAGGUCCACACCCAGGAUCUGAACCUGUGAACCCCAGGCUGCUGAAGCAGAGAGUGCCAAACUUAACCACUACGCCACUGGGGCAGCCCAUGAUGUUGGUGUUUUUUAUACUAUUUCUGUUGAUUUCAUAAAAUUGGACUAAAACCAUAUCUUCUUGUAUUAUUACAGAUUGAUUUUAGGCAUUUUAGUUGAAGAUGACAGAUUAAUUGUAUACAUUAGCCUUCAUUCUCUUCUAAACUGUUCUAACAUACAGUAAAGGGAGCUAGUGGGGAAAAAGGCAUAAAUCACAAAGACAGAGAGAAUAGAUCAGGAGACAACAAUACCAAAAGUUUGCGUGCUGGAAAGUAACUGGCCAAAUGAUAGCUACUUAGGAGAUCUGAGAAUGCCAGAUUUUAUAAUGGUAAUUGGGAAACUGAGAAAGCAAUCUAAUUUACACUGAAGAUCCCCCAAAAGACUUAGGAAUUGGUGACUGGAGGUUCUUCUUGAAAUGAGGUUGAAGUUGAGCUACAAUCAGCAGAUUGGAUGAAAGUCUACUUAAAAAGUGGUUAGAUGGAUGAAUGGACAGAUAGAAUGUGGUGUAUCCAUACAAUGGAAUAUUAGUCAGCAAUAAAAAGAAAUGAAGUUCUGAUUCAUGCCACAACAGCAUGCCUUGAACAUUAUGCAAAGUGAAAGAAGCCAGUCACAAAGAACCACAUGUUGUAUGCUUCCGUUUAUAUGAAAGGCCCAGAAUAGGCAAAUCCAUAGAAAUAGGAAGUAGAUUAAGGGUUGUGUAGGUCUAGUGGGAGGUAAGAAUGGAGAACUUCUGCUAAUCUGGAUGGGUUUUCUUCUGGAGGUAAUAAGAAUGUUCUAAAAUUGAUUGUAGUGAUGGAUGCUCUCUGUGAAUAUACUAAAAACUGUUGAAUAGUACACUCCGUUUAGGUGAAGUUGUAUCCUCUGUGAAUUAUAUUUCAAUAAAGCUGUUUUUUAAAAAAAG
rnacentral:lncRNA from 1 species